rnacentral:rRNA from 1 species
GACGAACGCUGGCGGCGUGCUUAACACAUGCAAGUCGAACGGUGAAGCGCCUUCCUUUUUGGUGGGUGUGGAUGAGUGGCGAACGGGUGAGUAACACGUGAGUAACCUGCCCCCUUCUUCUGGAUAACCGCAUGAAAGUGUGGCUAAUACGGGAUAUUCUGGGUCUGUCGCAUGAUGGGUCUGGGAAAGAUAUUGUUUCGGUGGGGGAUGGGCUCGCGGCCUAUCAGCUUGUUGGUGGGGUGAUGGCCUACCAAGGCGGUGACGGGUAGCCGGCCUGAGAGGGUGGACGGUCACACUGGGACUGAGACACGGCCCAGACUCCUGCGGGAGGCAGCAGUGGGGAAUAUUGCACAAUGGGCGCAAGCCUGAUGCAGCGACGCCGCGGGAGGGAUGGAGGCCUUCGGGUUGUGAACCUCUUUCGCCAGUGAAGCAGGCCUGCCUCGUUUGUGGGUGGGUUGACGGUAGCUGGAUAAGAAGCGCCGGCUAACUACGUG